GUUAGGGAGUGCCACUAGUCGAUGAUUAGUGGUAUCCCCUUAUAUAUUUAUUUAAUUUACAUGGAGGAAUUUAAUAAUG
rnacentral:sRNA from 26 species